rnacentral:rRNA from 1 species
UUACAUUUGAGUGAGUGGCGAACUGGUGAGUAACACGUGGGAAACCUGCCCAGAAGCGGGGGAUAACACCUGGAAACAGAUGCUAAUACCGCAUAACAACUUGGACCGCAUGGUCCGAGUUGAAAGAUGGCUUCGGCUAUCACUUUGGAUGGUCCCGCGGCGUAUUAGCUAGAUGGUGGGUAACGGCUCACCAUGGCAAUGAUACGUAGCCGACCUGAGAGGGUAAUCGGCCACAUUGGGACUGAGACACGGCCCAAACUCCUACGGGAGGCAGCAGUAGGGAAUCUUCCACAAUGGACGAAAGUCUGAUGGAGCAACGCCGCGUGAGUGAAGAAGGGUUUCGGCUCGUAAAACUCUGUUGUUAAAGAAGAACAUAUCUGAGAGUAACUGUUCAGGUAUUGACGGUAUUUAACCAGAAAGCCACGGCUAACUACUGCCAGCAGCCGCGGUAAUACGUAGGUGGCAAGCGUUGUCCGGAUUUAUUGGCGUAAAGCGAGCGCAGCGGUUUUUUAAGUCUGAUGUGAAAGCCUUC